rnacentral:snRNA from 1 species
GGAAGUGAAGGCGAUCUGGCUGUGACAUACGUCACCCCAUGGAUCACCAGUGUUGAUUUGGCUGAUCUGGCUGGCGAGGCGGGUGUCCCCUUCCUCCCUCACUGCUCCAUGUGUGUCCCUCCCGAAGCUGCGUGCUUUGUCAAGGAGGACGACCAUCUCCGACAGAGGAGGACCGGUCUUUGGUCAAGGGUGAAUGAGUAGCUGCGCUCCCCUGCCGGAACCUCCAAACCUCUCAAGAAUUAGAGUAAAAGCAGUAAGUCCAUUAACACGAACUUAAAGAAAAAUAUAAAAUACGGGCAUGUGGUCUCAGGGUCUUCUGU